rnacentral:rRNA from 1 species
UACUCCUACGGGAGGCAGCAGUAGGGAAUCUUCCGCAAUGGACGAAAGUCUGACGGAGCAACGCCGCGUGAGUGAAGAAGGUUUUCGGAUCGUAAAACUCUGUUGUAAGGGAAGAACAAGUACGUUAGUAACUGAACGUACCUUGACGGUACCUUACCAGAAAGCCACGGCUAACUACGUGCCAGCAGCCGCGGUAAUAC